AAUUCGCCCUUGAGCACGUAGGUGGGUUUGUAAGUCAGGUGUGAAAGCCUUCUGUUCAACGGGAGAAUUGCAUCUGAAACUACGAAUCUUGAGUGUAGGAGGGGAGAAUGGAACUUCUGGUGGAGCGGUGAAAUGCGUAGAUAUCAGAAGGAACGCCGGCGGCGAAAGCGAUUCUCUGGCCUAUUACUGACACUCAGUGUGCGAAAGCUAGGGGAGCAAACGGGAUUAGAUACCCCGGUAGUCCUAGCCGUAAACGAUGGGCACUAAGUAGUGGGAAUUACCGAUGUUCUCUCUGCCGUAGCUAACGCAUUAAGUGCCCCGCCUGGAGAGUACGGCCGCAAGGCUAAAACUCAAAAGAAUUGACGGGGGCUCGCACAAGCGGUGGAGCAUAUGGCUUAAUUCGAUGCAACGCGAAGAACCUUACCGGGGCUUGACAUGGUAGAAGUAGGAACCCGAAAGGGUAACGAACGGUAUCCAGUCCGUGACUAUCACAGGUGUUGCAUGGCUGUCGUCAGCUCGUGUCGUGAGACGUUGGGUUAAGUCCCCUAACGAGCGAAACCCUUGUUUUUAGUUACCAGCGGGUUAUGCCGGGUACUCUAGAAAGACUGCCGUCGUCAAGACGGAGGAAGGUGGGGAUGACGUCAAGUCAUCAUGGCCCUUAUGCCCCGGGCUGCACACGUGCUACAAUGGUCGGUACAAACGGAAGCGAAGCCGAGAGGUGAAGCGAAUCCAAGGGCGAAUU
rnacentral:rRNA from 1 species